GGGCCUUUAGCUCAGUUGGUAGAGCUACGGACUUUUAAUCCGCAGGUCGCGGGUUCGAGCCCCGCAGGGCCCACGA
rnacentral:tRNA from 3 species